rnacentral:rRNA from 1 species
AAAUUGAAGAGUUUGAUCAUGGCUCAGAUUGAACGCUGGCGGCAGGCCUAACACAUGCAAGUCGAACGGUAACAGGAAGCAGCUUGCUGCUUCGCUGACGAGUGGCGGACGGGUGAGUAAUGUCUGGGAAACUGCCUGAUGGAGAGGGAUAACUACUGGAAACGGUGGCUAAUACCGCAUAACGUCGCAAGACCAAAGAGGGGGACCUUCGGGCC